rnacentral:rRNA from 1 species
ACGAACGCUGGCGGCGUGCUUAACACAUGCAAGUCGAACGGAGCCCAUGCAGCAGCAAUGCUGCGGAAGGUUCAGUGGCGAACGGGUGAGUAACACGUGAGGAACCUAUCCUGGUCUCUGGGAUAACAGCUGGAAACAGCUGCUAAUACCGGAUGCCGUCGGAGCGUCGCAUGGCGCGCUGACGAAAGGGUUACCGGAUCAGGAGGGUCUCGCGGCCUAUCAGCUAGUUGGUGGGGUAACGGCCUACCAAGGCAUCGACGGGUAGCUGGUCUGAGAGGAUGAUCAGCCACACUGGGACUGAGACACGGCCCAGACUCCUACGGGAGGCAGCAGUGGGGAAUCUUGCGCAAUGGGCGAAAGCCUGACGCAGCAACGCCGCGUGCGGGAAGAAGGCCUUCGGGUUGUAAACCGCUUUCAGAAGGAACGAAACUGACGGUACUUUCAGAAGAAGGUGCGGCCAACUACGU